CUGAACCCUUGGAGACAGAAUACCCAGCUUCUGGAGAGAGUGGGAAAGGAUAAUAAACAAAUUUCUUUCAACUGGUAAAACAUCAUACCUCUUCAGCAAAAGGAACUCCUCUAGCAGAGCCCUCAUGGAUGAUAUCUGUCACACAUGGCAGCACCUGCAGUUUGGAAGGCAGUGGUGAAUGGAUCCAUGCAAUAUGUCUAGAAGACACAAGGAUGAGCCAACCACCUGAUCUUGUUACUUACAAACUUUUAAGAUUUACUCUGGUUUACUUUUGGUCUGAAAAUGGAAAGGCUCAAGUAAUGAAGUAAUCUUUUCAUUUUGGAGUUUUACAUGGCCAUGAAAAUAUUUCUUAUUCUGAAGACUGAAAUAGAGGAAGCUUGAGAGUCUUGUCUUUCAAAGCAGCUCUCUGUAUCCGUUUCACUUAAAGAUUUGUGGAACUGAAAAUCAUUUUAAUCACAUAGGCAACCCCCACUUUAAAAAGUAGCGAAAAAAAUACAGAAAGCUUGAGGAACCCUUCCACCACCUCCUCCUUUGUCACCCAGUGCUAAAGGGGACAGCAAAUAAAGGGUGAGCUCGAGACUUAGUAUUAGGAUGUACUCUUGGCUCAUCUCUUGCUGGCCCCGAGCCUUAUUUUUGCUGUAAUUUAUCAAAUGAUGAAAGCUGUGGAGCUGUCUUCUGUGUUCCUAGGCAGUAAAUAAACGCCUGCUAGGGUUUACGCUGUACUGACGGCGUCCUGCCGCU
rnacentral:lncRNA from 1 species